rnacentral:snRNA from 9 species
GUCCCUUCGGAGAUAUCCGAUAAAAUUGGAACAAUACAGAGAAGAUUAGUAUGAUCC